ACCGGGUAUUGCAGCGGCAGCAACUAUACAACUAAGUCAUAAUUAUUAGGAUUAGAUUUAGAGUCCCCUACAAUCCUCAUCUCUAAUGAGUACAAACCCGCUGCUCAGUCAAGUCCCAUAAAAACCGCCGCUCAUUUAGAAAGUCCCUGACAAUGCUGCAAGUGUUCAAACUUACUCCUAGCCUACGAAUUCCAUGCAUUUAAAACUAUCCUAAUCCUUCAAACAUGGACCUAGAAAAAUAUUUAAAAAAAGUCUUUUAAGAUUUCUACCUCUAUUGCAACGAAUUAAAACUAAUUGGUAAAGUC